CAUCUCACCAGAGAGACUGACUGCUACUGCUGCUCUCUCUCACACACACACACACAGCCUGAUUUCAUAUUCCACACUGCUGCUGAGCAGUGACGCCUGUCUCCCUGCGCUGUCAUCGGCUGUCUGCCAUCCAAUCCCGUCGCUCUCCUCCUCUGAGAGGUUGGGUCCAUCCGGCCAUAUGUCCAUCAAGCUCUACUGUACCGCCCCAGGCUCUGUAAACACCCCUCCACCCUCAAACACACUCUGGCCUGCCCAGCUGUCCCAGCACCAGGAGUGGAACGAGCAAAUGGGACUUAGGUGCCGGACUGUGUCUGCUGCAGUGACUUCCUGGAGUCAAGAUUUAAGGAAGGGUUAAACGCAAUAAGAGAAAAGUGGAUAAAGUGGCACCAGCCAGCCUUUCUACAAACGUGGUCAAACGUGGUACUGCAACUGAAAUAAAUGUAAUGUGUAUGUAAUUAUAUUACUGCGAUUACUGUAGGUAA